rfam:Alicycliphilus denitrificans K601, complete genome.
GGGUGAUUAGCUCAGCGGUAGAGCACUGCCUUCACACGGCAGGGGUCACAUGUUCGAUCCAUGUAUCACCCA